rnacentral:lncRNA from 1 species
UGAAUUAGGAUGGCGGCGAGCUCACGGCGACAGCAAUGCGAAGGCAGUGAGAUUCUGAGACUAAUGCGUCUCCAACGGAGCUCAAACGACGAAGGAAAACAGCCCUACAAGGGCUCGGUUAUGUUCUGUGGUUGAUGUCGGGGCUGCUAGUAGUUGGUCGGCGCGGGGACGGCAGCUGGAACGAACGGCUGAGGUGAGGAUGGCAACAACGAAGGGGAAGCUGGAGACGCUGGGGUGCUACUGGUCAAGAUGUUGCAAGCGUGGAGAUGGGCGUGUGGUGGCAGCUUACGAAGGUGGGGCUGGACUUUAAAGGGGAUGAUGAAUAUGCAUGGAGUCUGGCGGAAGUGGGAUUUGGAUGGUGCGGCAGCAACACAAAUGGGAAAAAUCAAACUAGUGGGAGACAAGGGGAGGUUGGCGGCGGAACCAGAGAAGAGAAAUGAGGGGGAGAGAUGCAGGCGUGAGGAAGGAGUGGGCGUGCGUGAGAGAGAGGGGGAGGGUUGGUCGGCUGAAGAAGAAAAGGGAGGAAAAG